AGAUUCUGGGUCGAAGCCCGUAA
rnacentral:snRNA from 1 species